GACGUAGGGCGCGAGCGUUGUCCGGAUUUAUUGGGCGUAAAGAGCUCGUAGGCGGCUUGUUGCGUCGGCUGUGAAAACCCAUGGCUUAACCGUGGGCUUGCAGCCGAUACGGGCAGGCUAGAGUUCGGUAGGGGAGACUGGAAUUCCUGGUGUGGCGGUGAAAUGCGCAGAUAUCAGGAGGAACACCGGUGGCGAAGGCGGGUCUCUAGUACGGUACUGACGCUGAGACGCGAAAGCGUGGGGAGCGAACAGG
rnacentral:rRNA from 1 species